AACGUAGGAGACAAACGUUAUCCGGAGUUACUGGGCGUAAAGGGCGUGUAGGCGGUCGACUAAGUCUGGCGUGAAAGCUCGCGGCUAAACCGCGAGAGGUCGUUGGAUACUGGUUGACUAGAGGACGGUAGAGGCGUGUGGAAUUCCGGGUGUAGUGGUGAAAUGCGUAGAGAUCCAGAGGAACACCAGUGGCGAAGGCGACACGCUGGGCCGUACCUGACGCUAAAACGCGACAGCAUGGGGAGCGAACGGG
rnacentral:rRNA from 1 species